CGUACACUGGUAGCAAUCCAGACUGGUCGCUUAAUCGAUUGAAAAAGCAUCGAUUAUAGAUGUUUACUAUUGCGCGCUUCAAUUCAUGGAUUAAUUAAUCGAUUCUUUCAUAUUAGAAUAGUUGAACAAACUUCUGCUUCCUUCUAGCUCAAUUACCUUACUAGAUACAAUAACAGAAGAAUUAAUAGUUUCGUCGUUACACAUUGAACCAUCCCUAUAUGCAGAUGUGAAUUAAAAUAAUGUUAGUCAUCUAAAAAAACAAUUCUAAUGGAGAUGAUUAUCGAUCGUGCCUUGGUUGUUCCCGCAUGCUUAUAAACCGAUAACGGCGAUGUCGUUAUAUAUGAUUUAAGGUUAGUUUUCGUUUAAGAGUGCUAAGUUUCGCAACAAGAUUCCCCUUUCCACGAUAUGUAACCUGAACUGCCGAUAUUGUUUUACCCUCGAAUCGACCAGUGUGCUUCACACAAUACUGCGCCUCGUAAACAGCAUCGCAAGGCUGUGGUUUGAUAUCGAUGUCGCUCGAGAGAAAUUCGUUGCAUUGGAAGGGGUCGGUGUUGUUUGUACUGACGCAUUGAUAACAUUGUAAACUGUGCACUAAACGAAAAGAAAGAUUGGGGAUUCGAUUUACUUCACGUUGAUUCAUAAUUUUGUCAGCUAACUAUAGACUAAAUCAAACAAUACUUUCCAGAUUAUAAAAAAAAACGUAUUCUAACCUAAUAAUUAAAAUUAAAUAGUGAAAUGACAGUACAAAUAUGUAUAUGUCUUAAAUGUUUGUUUUAAUCAUUAAUUAAUUACUUAUUAGGAAAAAAUGAUAAAUUCAUAAUAUUUAGUGUCCAUGAAAAAAAAUAAUUGACCCAGAUAACUUCUUAUCAUCUUGCGUUAAACUGUGAACUAAUAUGUAUAUAGUUCUCUCGGUCGAUGAUAAAUAAAUUAUGUGAUAAGAAUUAUA